AAAACAAAGUUAAUGCUAAAUGCCUCAGACAACUUGAGGGCACACCUACUCUCCCAGACCGUAAGGAAACCUUUCUCUCUCUGAAAACAACCCACCGCCCAGUUCUCCUUCUUCCUCUCCUCUCUCUUGUCAGAUCUCGAUCUUUUAUCGGGAUCCUUGGCUUGAGAGUGGGGGGGGGGUGGGGGAAGGCCUUAGAUCUAGCUUUCUUUUCUGUUUUUGUCGGUUUUAUUUUCCGUCUUGCUUUUCUUUCAACCGGUUUCACCAUGUCUGCCGUCUUUGGUGGUUUUGUAGCUCGGAGUUCGUCUCCGUUCUGGUCUUGCCCCAUUUUCUGUGUUUCCGAUUUCACACUUCCCUAUUCAAUAGUUUCCCUCCUUUUCAUCUCCCUCUGUUCUGCUUGGUUUGGUUCAUCGGUUCUUCGGAGCCACUCUCUAUGUGGGAUUUUCUCACUAUCGCACGGGGUGAUGCAACAAGAUUCUGUGUACCUUCGGGUGCCUGUCUCUUCGAUUCCACCUUCAUCCGGUUUUUUCGGACUUCUUUCAUCUGGUUUAUCCAGUUGUUGUGUCUUUGGUUCUUUUGGCAGACGAGGUUGUUGAUGCAGAUGAGGGUUUUGGUGAUUUCUGGAGGUUUGAAGGCUAGUUUCAUGGAUUUUGGCAUAGGUCUUGCUCGACCCAUUGUCCUGAAAUGCUCCUGUCGCUAUUUGCUUCACGUUGGGUUCAAGUAGAUGAGGGUUCUGGUGAUUUCUGGAGGUUUGAAGGCUGGUUUCAUGGAAUUUGGCAUAGGUCUUGCUUGACCCAUUGUCUUGAAAUGCUCCUGUCGCUAUUUGCUUCACGUUGGGUUCAACUUGGGUUCGAUUUGGGGGUUUUCCAUUCUGCUGAAAAGGGGAUUGAGUUGGGUUCGAGUUGAAGGAGGAGGAAAGGGGUUUCACGGGUUUAGGGAUUGUUGCUCAAUUCCUUUCGAUUGCAUCAAGAGCAACCUCAUUGGCUCUCACCUAGUCGAAUCUGCUCACUAAUCGAUACUAGUUUCCUUUUCUCUUUCUCUAUGUGUUUCGGUUUGUUUAAAUUAAAGAUAUGCGGUUGAUUUUCAAGGGUAUUGAGCUUGUUUAUUUGCUGGGUUUCAGACGAAUAAGAAGAUGCAAGAGAAGAUGGAAAGGAGACUUGGGGGUAUAAUUAAUUGCUCUAAAUCAUGAGGAGAGAAGAAGCCUUUGCCAAGCAUUUGAAGCUUAUGAAUUGGGUGGCGUGUUGAUGUCUUGGUUUGUCUUCACAAGUGGGGUUAUGUGCAGCAGGGGAAACAAUAACGCCAUACAUUACUAUAACUACGGUUUGAGAAUGGAAUUUGCUUUAGAUUUGCAUUUAAGGUCAACUUAUGUUCAUGUGUAGGAACUAAAUGUAAUUCAAUGGAACUUAUUAUACUCUUAUCUAUUUGCAUGUCUUAUGGUUUCUGAUGGCCAUAGACAUAAUUUGUUGUAUUGACCAUAUAUAAAAUGUCUUUGUUGGACUCUCUAAAUCAAGGUCAAUGGUGCUAGAGAAUGAUCAAUUAGUAUAGCUUGGGUAUAAAUGUAUGAUAGAAUGGGGUACUUUAUUUAAGAGAUGCUCUGACUUGUUUAAUUUUAUCAAAUAUAUGUGCCGUAAAGGUACUUGUGAAUAGCAAAGAAGCUUGUGAUCAUGGGCGCAAGGUGGGAGGCUGCAUUAUAUUUUUUUUUCUUUUGAGGAAGAGCUCAGAGCUUGUAAAAUUUUCUAUGCUCUUUGGGUGCCUAAUCUAUUCAUGAAAAGGGUUGGAAAUAAUGAAAAGUGGUCACUCUUUUGUCCUAAUAGUGUCCAGGUCUGGGAGAUUGCUAGGAUGAAAGCUUCGAACAGCUUUGCACUCGUCAUGAAAAGUAAGGCCAAAAGAGUUGUAUCUUCCCAACAACGUUGGUAUGAGGUUUUGAAAUCCCAGAUUGAAACAGGAACUCCAUACAUGCUUUUUAAGAGUAAGAAAAAAGAAUGACAGUAUGGUUUAUGUCAAAAGAUCAUGUUGUUCAAGUAAAGGAGGGUGCAUGUAGUUGAUGCUGGAUAAAGACAGGUGGGGAACUAGAUUUGAUUCCAUGGCUAAACAAAUCAAAAUUUAACUCACCAAGAAUCGCAUCAACUUUAUAGGUUUGACACCAUGGCUGCACAAACUAAGUUCCGGGAAUAGUGGGAAGACAAGAGUUUGUAUCAAUAUGUUGGCUGUAGAAACCAAGUUCCUGCACACACUAUAUGUGGCAUGUUUAAUUUGGAACAACGUAGUUGUAUCAGCUUUUGAUGUCCCAAGUAGAUGGCCAUGCAUUUGAAUACUUUUCUUCUAUUAAUGGUUGCUUGGAUGAUUGGGAAAUGCUCCCUUUUAACAUUUGAGAUAUAUGGAAUGGGUUUGAUUA